rnacentral:rRNA from 1 species
CCAGCUCCAAUAGCGUAUAUUAAAGUUGUUGCAGUUAAAAAGCUCGUAGUUGGAUUUCUGGGGAGGAGUUCUUAGGCCGCCGACUGGCGGUUAGAGGCUCCUUCCCAUCCUUCUGUUAACGCUUCUCGGCAUUCAUUUGCUGGUGGCGGGCUCAGAUAUUUUACCUUGAGAAAAUUAGAGUGUUUCAGGCAGGCUAGGCCGGAAUACAUUAGCAUGGAAUAAUGGAAUAGGACUACGGUCUCUUUGUUGGUUUGAGGGACUGGAGUAAUGAUUAAUAGGGAUAGUUGGGGGCAUUAGUAUUUAAUUGUCAGAGGUGGAAUUCUCAGAUUUGUUAAAGACUAACUUAUGCGAAAGCAUUUGCCAAGGAUGUUUUCA